rnacentral:rRNA from 1 species
AAAGACAGGGUGGAGUCAUCGUGGUUUAAUUCGAAGCAACGCGAGAACCUUACCAGGUCUUGACAUCCCUUUAAAACUCUUGAAAUUGAGGGUUGCCCUUCGGGGGACAGAGAGACGGGGGGUACGGGGUUGUCCUCAUCUUGUGUUGAGAGGUUUUGGGUUAUCUCCCACCACGAGCGCCCCCCUAGUUUUUUUUUGCCCACUUUUUGUGGGGCCCUUUAAAGAGACGGCCGGUAACAAACCGGAAAAAGGGGGGGAAGACCUCAAAUCAUCAGGCCCCUUAAAACCGGGGCUACACCCGUUCUACAAUGGGGGGUACAAAGGGGUGCAAAACCCCGGGGUGAACCCAAUCCCAUAAAACCCUUCUCAUUUUGGAUUGGAGGCCGCAACUCCCCCACAUAAAACUGGAAUUUCUUGUAAUCGCGGAACAACACGCCCCGGUAAAAACUUUCCCGGGUCUUGUACACCCCCCCCCCUUAAAAA